GACGUAGGGCGCGAGCGUUGUCCGGAUUUAUUGGGCGUAAAGAGCUCGUAGGUGGUUCGGUAAGUCGGAUGUGAAAUCUCCAGGCUCAACCUGGAGGGGUCAUUCGAUACUGCCGUGACUAGAGUUCGGUAGAGGAGUGUGGAAUUCCUGGUGAGCGGUGAAAUGCGCAGAGAUCAGGAGGAACACCCGUAGCGAAGGCGGCACUCUGGGCCGAUACUGACACUGAGGAGCGAAAGCGUGGGGAGCGAACAGG
rnacentral:rRNA from 1 species